UACGGGGGGGGCAAGCGUUGUUCGGAAUUAUUGGGCGUAAAGAGCUCGUAGGCGGCUUGUCACGUCGGGUGUGAAAGCCCGGGGCUUAACCCCGGGUCUGCAUUCGAUACGGGCUAGCUAGAGUGUGGUAGGGGAGAUCGGAAUUCCUGGUGUAGCGGUGAAAUGCGCAGAUAUCAGGAGGAACACCGGUGGCGAAGGCGGAUCUCUGGGCCAUUACUGACGCUGAGGAGCGAAAGCGUGGGGAGCGAACAGG
rnacentral:rRNA from 1 species